GGCAGAAAAUGCUAAGGCGCUCUGCUGCCAAUAAAAUAAAUAAAUCAUAAGGGGUGUACGUGGUCUGCAACAAUCUCUAAGUAGGUGGUACGUGUCAAAGUAACAUCUGCAUGAAUGCCAGGAUCCAAAAUUUCCCAGCAGAACAUUGCACAGAGCAUCCAAAAUCGCUACACAAAAGUUUAUUUGUAGAAAGUACAUCCCUCAGGCGAUGUAAC